UAAUAAGUGUUUUAUGGCACUUUUUAAAUCCAUAUCCACCUUGUGUGCAAUGUCAGUCGAUCUUCUUCAUGGAGAUUGACAAAACAUCAACCUUUAUCUUUUAAACACUUUGUCUGAAAAAUAUUAUGAAUAAACAAUUCAAAAUA
rnacentral:misc_RNA from 1 species